ACCCAACACAAUAUUCUACAACUCGGGAGAGGGAUGCCGUAACCCAAAUUGCAGAACAUUUGAAGGUAAGUGAAUGACGAUUCACUAAUUUCCACCAUGAAAAACAAAAAAGAAAUUUAAGUUUUAAAUCUAUGAAAACUCCUAGAUCCUUUGAGAUACAUUGAACUUUCAAUGGCAUGUUUAAAUCUCGAUAUGCCCCUCUUGUUUGUGACUGGGAUGCCGAGGAUCACAAAGCGGGUGUGAAUAACCAUGCAAACUUACAUGGUGCCCUCACAUGUUACAGUCACCUAUUCGAUGUGCCGGUAAACCACACACGCUCCACCGAACUAUGACAAACAUUGAGUCACCCUUUGCUACCUUUGCUUAGACCCAUUUAGUGUGCCGGUUAACCACACACGCUCCACUAAUGUCUUCGCAAGGGCACAAAGUGUAAUUUCAUGGAAUUGCAUCAAUUCACUUUUGCCUAAGUAACUAAGAUUGGGAAUUUUAAAAACAUUUAGUUACUUUAGUAAUUCAUUAUACUUAUAAUGGAAGGUUUCGUCCUAUCCUACCCGUUCGGCUAACGACCCUCCACUAGUCAAGAGUGCGGUGGGUAAGAGUGGAUACCCAUUCAAUCGCCAUUUUAUAGGCAAUUUCCUUAAACACUCCUUAUAGACCAGCUUCGUGAAUGAGGCCUACUAACGGUAAGACUGACUUUUACUCAUACAUAUAUAUAAUGUUAGACUUUUAAUGUUAUAUAAAGUAUAGGGUGAAUUUAACAACUUUUAAAAUACUAGGUGGUCAAAAUUAAUAAUCAUACCUUUAAUUCAAUUAAAUUGUAAACCAAAACUUUAUGGAUUUAUUAAACUUCUUUUAAUUAUACACCUUAAUUAAUUAAUAAAACCAUAAGGGUGUGAUUUGAACUUUUCAAAACAAUACUAGGGUUUUAGAAUUUAACAUUCCUAAUUAAACCUUUAAUCAACUUUUAAAUUCCAAAACUUGAGGGCAAAUUUUGAAACAUUUCAAAACAUUAGGUGAUAGAAUAUAAAUAUACAUCAAAAUUAAACUCUUAAUCAAAAUUUAAAUUCCAAAACUUGAGGGCAAGUUUUGAAACCUUUUUCAAAACAUUAGGGUUUCAACUAUUUAAAUUUCAAAACAACAAAACUUUUGGGGUCAAAUUUAAACUAUAAAACCUAAAGGGGAAAAUGUGAAACUUUUCAUAACACAAGGAUCAAAUAACAAAUAAUCUAAAUUAACAUUUAAUCACAUAAUUAUCCAUAUUUGAUUUAUUUAAUGAUUUCUUGCAAAACAAUUUACCAAUUUAAUCAAAAUAAUUAAUCAAUUAUCACAUAAGGAAACAAAUAUUUUAUUAAUUGAUAAAUAUCUUCAAUUAGAUCAAGAAUAUAGUCAUAUAUAUCAAAAAAUCGGAUUUAUAUUGAUCUAAUAUGAUAAGGCAAGUAUCCUCAAGCAAAAACAGCAAGAAAUCCCGGUUUUCCCUCAUUCUGAUCAGCCGACUCGUCGAGUCAGCAUGGACUAGGCGAGUUCCUCUAGAGACUCAGCGAGUUCAGCAAGCAGAACCACAAAAAACGAAUUUUUUCAACAUACAAGGCAUCAAUACAAUAGAAACCAAUCUAGGCUCUGAUACCACUGAUGGGUUUUGGCCAUAAGAACCUCUUAUGUACUCAUACAAACCCUAAUACUUGGAUCUAGGUUUCUCUAUUGUACAUGCAAGUUAUCCAAGACUAUAAACCCUAGAUCUAGCAUAUGAUAAUCAAUAUAACAUAUAAUUAGGGUUUAGAUCAUACCUUGAUUGUUAUGUAGCAAUAACAAUCCCAAUUCCUCCUUGUAUUGACUUUAGAAAGCUUAGAGUCACAAAUGUCACUCCUCUAAUGGUUCACAAACACCAAGAGC
rnacentral:lncRNA from 1 species